GAUUAACUACACCAAUGUUCUCGAUGCCAAUUUCGACACUUUGAUAUCAGCUCUGAAACGGAUUGGGUUGGGGAAAAUGGAUGUUAUGAUCGGUGAAAUUGGGUGGCCAACAGAUGGAGAUAUCAAUGCCAAUGUGUUGCUUGCUAAAAGAUUCUACCAAGGUCUGUUCAAACAACUUGCCGUCGACCAAGGCACACCUCUCCGACCGAACAAGUAUAUAGAGACCUAUUUAUUCGGCUUAAUAGAUGAAAAUAAAAAGAGUAUAGCACCUGGAAACUUCGAACGACAUUGGGGGAUAUUCACUUAUGAUGGGCAGCCAAAGUUUCAAAUGGAUAUAUCCGGUGAAGGUCUGAACACGACUCUAAUCGGAGCCAAGGAAGUCAAAUACUUGCGUAACAUGUGGUGUGUGUUGAAUCCUAAAGUUAAAUAUCAAAUUGAAAAUCAGGGAGUCAAUAAAUUAGGAGACAACAUUAAAUACGCAUGUCAGACCUCCGACUGCACUGCACUUGGUUAUGGCUCGAGUUGUCACGGUAUCGAUGUGGAAGGGAAUGCUUCUUAUGCUUUCAAUAUGUAUUUUCAAGUGCACAAUCAAGCAGAGAAGAGUUG
rnacentral:lncRNA from 1 species